UUUUUUUUUCUUUUUUUUUAGGUUAUAGAAGAGAUGGUUUGUAUAAAAAAGUUUAAAAUUAUUUUGAACAAAUUUAGAACCUAAAGAAGAUACAUCCUUGUAUCCCCCUUUUGUUCUCUUCUCUUCCUCUAUGGGUGUGUACACAUCCGUAUAAUAUAUACUACUACAUACAUGCAUGUCUGCAUACACACGUGUGUGCGUAUGUAUGUGUAUAAAGUUCCCUGACACUUCUACUGAAAUGAACACUCUGUCCUGCAGGGUCAGCCUUUACUCAUUAGGUGAAGAGGGGUGUGCAAAAUGCCUUGAAGAGUAUCUCAUCUUAGCUGGGCUGAACAAGGGGCCCCCAACUUGAGCAAACACGAGCAUGAAAUAAUGCCUUCCUGAAAAUACCAUACGUCACUCACACACAUCAACAAACCCCGGGGGGAGGGGGGAGCUAAUAAGGAUUAAACUAACAGUUGGUUACUCUCUGCUCAAUAAUUCAAAAGCAAAAUUAGACUCUGUCCACAUGGUAGAUUAGGACAAAGCCUGCUGUCAUCCCCACAUUUCCCUCUCCCUCUAUAGGGUUAUCCCAAGAAUUUUUAAAUCAAACAAAUGGCUAAACUUCCCUCACUUCACAAUUUUAAUAAAGCAGUAUUGGUUCAACAGAUUCAAUGUAUAAUUAAAGUAAACCUCUCUGCUUUAUCCAUUUUAGUUGAACUACGAGGUGGGGAGGAACUAGGGCUUCAUUUUAAAAAAUCAGCUUUCCAAAAUCCAAACCAGUCAGACUUCUGAGAUGAAGGAUGAUUUGGGGCUUUCCUAAUAAAUCCUAUUUUUAUCAGCCGACUUGCCUUGGAGUUUAAGUCCUAACUAAAGCCAAGCAGCUUUGCCUUAACAUGAUAAUACCCUUGAAAGCUACUUAAAUUCACAUGGCUGUUGCUUCUACAUGAAAGGGCUCAGGUCUGCCACACAUUCGACCAAUACUCGGUGUGUGCCUAUGAUGUCUAACACAUCUGUUAGCCAAUGAGGAGCAGGAACCAGACAAUAUCUGCUUAUAGGACUCCCAUCUUGGUGGUGGAGACACACAUGUUGACAGAUACAUAACAUUCAGCUUAUUAAGUGAAACCUACAAUCUGGAUAUAAUCCAGAUUGAACAGAAGGUGACAGGAAAGAACAGGUGUGAAAGAGGAAAUUUGAGCAGAUUUUCUGAAAACCUCAAUGAGUUUGCUAGGUGAAGAAUGUGAGGAAAAGAAUUCCCAAUACAGAGAACAGUAUGUGAAGAGCCAUAGGGUUGGGAUGGGCAUGGAUGGCCACCUGCAGGCAGAAGUGAGCUCUGUAGCUGGAAGCAGGUUUGGGCUGGAAGGGCUGGAGAGCUGGGAAAGCUGUGCAAAGGCAGUGUUGAUGGCCUCAGAGACCAGCCAAGAAGGACUAUGUCUGUUCUUAACCAUGCUUUUCUUUUCUGCAGUUUAUGCUCUUUGGCAUCUCAGGGGCUUGCUGACAUGGGAGAGACUGUCCCUCCUGGGGAUAGAUAAUCUCUAGAGAUACUAAACUACUUACCUGUGAACAUGCCUUUGAUAUGCAAUCAAUCAUUCUCAGGUUCAAACCCCCACCUGCCUCCUCUAGCAGGCCCCUUUCCUCUACCACUCCAGGGUCAACUAGAACUGUAGGAGCUCCUGCAAUGAGUCAAACAACCCAGUUCCAAACCUGCUCAGCUGCUGACCCUGCUUUCCUGUAAAAACCACAACAGAAGCUCUUGCUCUUUUCUUCUUCCUCCCUUUUGCCUCCUCACCAACGAUGGUGCUUCCCAGGUGGUUUCUUAGGAACCACACGUAGCAAAAGAUUGUUUCAGUCAUUUCCUGGUCUGUGCCCUUCCUCAUACCUGAAAUAAAAAUGAAAUUCUAGGUACAUUUAAAAACAGUGUCCUGGGAGUUCCCCUUGUCACAGGGCUAAGAACCCAACAUAGUGUCCAUAAUGAUAGGGGUUAUUUCCUGGCCUCACUCAGUGGGUUAAGGAUCUAGUGUUGCCACAAGCUGUGACAUAGGUUGCAGACACGGCUCAGAUCUGGUGUUGCUGAGGCUGUGGAGUAAGCCCACAGCUGCAGCUCUGAAUUAACCCAUAGCCUGAGAACUUCCAUAUGCCAAGGGCGCAGCCAUAAAAAGGCAAAAAUAGUUUAGCAGAAGCAUUAAAAUAUAGCUUAUGAUUUUUCUCCCAGGAAGGCAACUAAUGACAGUUCUGAGAACUGCCUGGAGUGCAGGAAGACUGAGGCAUAUCACACCAAUAAAAAGAUCCUGUUAUCAUCCAAGAGCAUAAUGCCACUGAAGGGCUGGUAGGAGGGAGGGAUGGAAAGACUUCUGAAUUUUGCAUUCUUGUAUCUUAUAUUUGCAGUUGUUCUGUCUUCUUACUUUCCUAUCACUUUCCUAUCCCAUCUUUUCUGGUUGUUAGCACACUUCUAAGAUUAUUCUCUUCUCUAAUUUGCUAUUUCUAAGUGGGCCUGGGCUGGGCUGCCACAUACUCUGGUUUAGUAGAAGAGUAUUUAAGAAAGAGUAAAUGGACUGCAUGAUGAAGGCUGCAAGAACACACUUGCAGACACAACCUAUGAGCCAAAAGUAUGGAUAUAUCAUGAGGCUCUAAAUAUUCAGAGGUUUGUUUGAGCUCAAUUCCAGGCCUCAGAAUUCUGAGUAUUUCAGAUGGAGGAGUAUCAUUUGCAUAAACUGAAAGGCAGAGAGAUUUGGAAAGGCUGGAGUAUCAUCUGCAGUAGGCACCUCAUUGCUCCUGGCCACAGAGGAGAAGCUUGUUGACCAGCUUCCUGUUCUGGCCAUGCUUCUUAUGGAACUAUGUGUGUGUAUGGUGCAGGACCUCAUUCAGAACCUGCCCACAGAAACCAGAGUAUAAUGACAAAAAUUAACCAUGGACACAAAUUAUAACCUAUUCUGCAGAAAGGGCCAUCCAUGCCAUAUUUCAGGCUCCAGGAACAUAGAGAACAGACUUGUGGUUGCCAAAGGGGAGGGAGAAGAAGUGGGAUGGAUGGGGAGUUUGGGGUUAGUAGAUGCAAGCUAUUCCAUUUAGAAUGGAUAAGCAAUGAAGUCAUACUGUAUAGCACAGGGAACUAUAUCCAGUCUCUUGGGAUAGACCAUGAUGGAAGACAGAAUGAGAAAAGAAAUGUGAGUGUGUGUGUGUGUGUGUGUGUGUGUGUGUGUGUGUGUGUGACUAAUUGUGCUGUGUAGCAGACAUUGAUGCAGCACUGUAAAUCAACAAUAUUUCAAAAUAAAAAUAAAAUAAAAUUGAAAGAAAAAUAAAGAUAAUCUAAAUUAAAAAAAAUAACCUCCUUGCUGAGUCCAGAGGCAUUCUAGAAAGAAUUUCCAGGAGAGAAGAAGAGGAAAAUGGGAGAUGGAAAAAUUCACAAAAGCAUAUAUUCGACAGGGAGUUGAUCUUCCAGAAGGCAAACCGGUGCCUGAGCCCACAAAUAUCGAUCUCCUGCCUGAGCUUCAGUUUCCUUAACUAAGAUGACACUGAUGGUGUUGAAAGUUGGUGAGGCAAGUGGAGGAGGGAGAGGAGAAGACUGUGGUUAAUAAAUGUGGUUCAAGCAAUCUGGUGUGUAUCUGACCUUUAUCUUUCAAAUUACCUGUGUAAAUCCAGACAAGUCAAUGAAUCCAGAUAGAUGACUGUGUUAUGGGAGACAAUGAAAUUAGGGGAGCAAAUUCUAAUACAAGGAAAAAUGGAGGUGGUGGUCCAGUCCACAGCAUCCUGCGCUGCAGUUUGUCUUAAGUGACUUCCUGAGGGUGAUGCUGAGUGAAGAGGACUGAUUGCUAAUGGGAAUGGAUGACCAGUUUUCUUAUAGGGGAGAAUGAUGAAUACUUGAUCUCAGAAGUUGUUUUCAGAAGGGAGAUGAACAUCAAGAAAUAUGUUAGGGGUGUCUUCUCUCCAAAAUGGGGUAGGAAAACAAACCUACCCAUGUCACAUGCUCCAGAUGGCUCAUGGGAAACAUUAAGAGCCUGAUACCUUACUUUUUUUCAAGGAAACUCUUUAGUUCACCCCAUUAUCACAUUAAUACUUGCUUUUGUCUGUUUCCCUAGAGCUUCUUCCCCCAAGUACAAAAUCAUGCUAUUUUGCAUAACUUUGGACUUAGCUCUCUAAUUCAGCUUUAGGACCUUCUAAGUAAAAUUUAUAAGCACUAAGUAAAAUUUAUAAGUAAGGGCUUAGAUUGUAAAAAAAAGAUAUCCCUGCCAGUACCAGUUACCCUUCUUACGACUGAGAUUCAGACAAGGCACAAAGGGAACAUGUAUGAGGGACUCUGAGUACCUUUUAAAAAAUUUUUUUUCUGUCUUCUUAGGGCCACACCUGUGGCAUAUGGAAGUUCCUAGAUGAGGGGUUGAAUCAGAGCUACAGCCACAGUCACAGCAACAUGGGUUAUGAGCCACACCUGCAACCUACACCACAGCUCAUGGCAAUGCCGGAUCCUUAACACAUUGAGCAAGGCCAGAGAUUGAACCUGCCUCCUCAUGGAUACUAGUUGGGGUCAUUACUGCUGAGCCACAGCAGGAACUCCUCCAAGUACCUUCUGAUGGACCUUCGUCUACGCUCAUUUUCCUGUGGCUUCUGUUCUUAGCCUAUGAAAACAUGUCCCAGAUUAUUACAGACCUUUAUUAAUUAAGGCAAACACUCACUGCUGUGAAAGAUGAAUCCUAAAAUCUCAGUGACAACACACUGGUUUAUUUCUCAUUCACACAAGGUCCAAAUGGAGGUUGUAGAUGAAGAGGACAAGUCCUGCAAUUAUGCAGGAUCCAGACUAACAGGUGAUCUGCAGUAUUGACAUGGGGUUUCUAGGACUGCCUGGUCUUUCUUUUUUUUUUUUUUUUUUUUUUUUUUUUUUGUCUUUCUGUCUUUUUCUAGUGCUGCACCCACGGCAUGUGGAGGUUCCCAGGCUAGGGGUCUAAUCGGAGCUAUAGCCACUAGUCUAUGCCAAAGCCACAGAAACUCCAGAUCUGAGCUGCAUCUAUGACCUACACCACAGUUCACAGCAACACUGGAUCCUUAACUCACUGAGCAAGGCCAGGGAUCUAACCCGAUAUCUCAUGGUUCCUAGUCAGAUUCGUUAACCACUGAGCCAUGAUGGGAACUCCUGUCUGGUCUUUCAAAGGUGUCAGCAGAUAGGGGAGCAGAAAGAAUGGAGCUGUAGGGGCAUUUAAUAUGCAGGAUGCAAGGACAGAUGAAGUCACCUAACCUUUGGUGAAGCUGGGGGUUUAGCUGAAUUGUCUGCUCAGGAAGAAUGAGAAACAAUGUCAUGAACAGCUAGCCGGUUGCUGGUCUGCUCAAGUGAAAGAGAUUUGGACUGAGAGGCAGAAGGAUUGAGCCCUACCCAGUUCAAUGGGUAGGAUUGAGCCCUACCCAUUAAUUUAACACAAUCUCUUCAUUUGAUUAACUUCCCCUGAUAUUGAAUUUCAUAUCAACAAUAAAUACAAUGUCUGGUCCCUAAUAAAGCUUCCAGAGCUAAUAGAACAUAAAUUUGUAAUAAUAACCAAAAAAAAAAAAGAAAGGAAGAUUUAUAGGUAGAAAGAGUCUAUUUAUUUAUUUAUUUUUGUUUUUGUUGCUUACUACAUUUUUGUCCUGUGUCUUACAAUUGAUCCUGGUUGAUACUUUAUACCUACCCAAAGCAUUUUCUUUUGUCUUUUUAGGGUUGCACCUGUGGCAUAUGGAUAUUCCCAGGCUAGGGGUUGAAUUUGUGCCAACCUAUACCACAGCUCACAGCAGUGCCUGAUUCUUAACUCACUGAGUGUGGCUAGGGAUCGAACCCUUGUCUUCAUGGAUACUAGUUGGGUUCGAGUACAUCUGUAUUGUGUUCUAUAGUGUCUAAAUGCAGUUUUGCUUAUUUAUUUUCAUUUUUAAAAGUUUUAUUGAAGUGUAGUUGAUUUAAAAGGUUGUGAUAAUUUCUGCUGUAUAUCAAAGUAAUUCAGUGAUAAGCAUGCACACAUCCAUUCUUUUUCAGAUUCUUUUCCCUACAUAGAUUAUCACAGAAUAUUGGCUAGAGUUCCUGGGGCUACACAGUAGGUCUCUGUUGGACUGUUGUUCCAUCUUAGCUAAUAUCAAUUUAUUUGUUUCCUUCUCAUCUUGGUUAAGUUCCCAGGUAACAUGUCUACAAAAUCUUGGGAAUGAGGUCCAAAACAUGAAGAUUCUGUAACUAGAGAUGUGGAGCACAAGUAGCUAUUACAGAUACUCCUUAACUCAUGACAGUUUGGCUUAAGGAUUUUUUUUGACUUUAUGAUGGUGUGAAAAUGCUAUGCAUUCAGUAGGAAAGGUGUUUUGAGUUUUGAAUUUUGAUCUUCUCCUGGGAUAAUGACAGGUUCUAUGGUACCUUCUCACCACGGUGGGUGGCAGAAGUGAGCUGCAGCUCCCAGUCAGCCAUGUGGUCACUGUAAAGUCAACAAACCAUACAGUUAUAACCAUUUUACCCAAAUGAGCAUUGUUUUUCACUUUCAGUACAGUAUUCAACAAAUACAUGAGCAGACAACAUAAUAGGCUUUGUGUCAGAUGAUUUUGCCCAACUCCAGGCUAAUAAGUGUUUUGAGCACAUUUAAGGUAGGCUAGGCUAAGCUAUAGUGCUUUAUAGGUCAGGUGUGUUGAAUGCAUUUUUGACAUAAGAUGUUUUCACUUUAUAAUGUAGUUAUUGGGAUAGCAUCUCAUCUUAAGUCAGGGAAGAUCUGUAAUUUAAAUGAUUGAUAGCAGAGAAGAUCGUAUUUUCCUCAGAACUGGUAUCUCCUACAACAUCAAAUAAAUAUUUUUUCUGGAAAGUGUAUAAAAUUUAAUUCCUUACUUAACUUGUUAACAACUAACAGUGCAUUUAAUGUUCCCAUCACUUGACUAUGACUGUUUCCACUUCUCCUCUGCCAUAAAUGCUCUCCAUGAAAGUAAGUCCCCCAAAUACAUAUUCAAAUAACUACCAUGAAUUGUCAAGUAAUCCAUUGUCUAAUGAUUAUUUUCAAGUGUAUAUAUCACAAACUAUCACAUUCAAUAAACUAAUGACAAAAUUG
rnacentral:lncRNA from 1 species